GUUUUCAACGAAUUUUAUUCACAAACAUGUAUCUUAAAAUAAUCGUAAAGGCCCGUACUUUUCGAAUUGAAAUACCGGUUUUUUUUAGUGACUCGCCUCUUGCAUGAAAAUUGGCAAACUUCAGGUAGGUAGGUAAACAUUUCAUCUACAUAUGUAGUUACAUAUGUGAUCUGUCACGAGAAAACCAGCUUACAAAUUAAGAUCCAAAAAAUCAAUUUUUUUUUGAUGGAUAUUGGUAGUAUGUACUUAGUGUGUAGAAUCCGCCUAUGGUGGUAAAAACGUUCGCGAAUGAUUCUAUUGACCCUCAAUUCAAGGUUUAAAAAAUGGAACAACUACAUUCCUCAGCCAUCUUCGUGAAAGCCAAUCGUACAACCGAAUAUCUCGCCAUGAACUGCCCUAUUGCCGAUUGCGUAUAAUGCACCUUCCGCGACCUACUUUACCUACUUACCUGUCAAUUGAUUUCAGAUGUAUCGCUUGCAGCGAGUUUUGCAGGAGAAAAUUCCUAUCUGGGACUGAAAAUAAUGAAAAAUGCGUUUCCGGUAACCAGAACUGUUCUUUAAAAUAUAGCUUUAGUAAAAGAACCUGCUCCGUCUGCAAGUUCGAGAAAUGUAAGCUUGUAGGUUACACGAUAGAAUCGUUUAGCUCUACAACAUCAGUUACACCUACGAGGUACCUACCCAAUAACAAUCCAUCGUAAUUUAUCAAUUCUGGGAACAGUGCCAUUCGCACCGUGUCAGGAGGUUCAAAAUUUUUCUGGAUAAGCGUAGUCUCUCACUUGAAGAACAGACCAACGCACAACCUGUAACAGCAGAAUAGCUCACGUUAGUCGAGACUCGUACGGGUAUACCUGCAUCAGCAUCUAUAACCAUUAGGCAGGAAGAUUGUUCCUCGAUUCGAGCGUGAUACCUGAUUGAACUCGUAUAUACCUACUUAUGGUAAUGAGGAAAAACGUUGGCUCGCAUCUAAAUCCAAAUUCGUCUACAUAUUAAUGAUCUCACGAUUAAGUAAACACCUAAAUGGUAAAUCGGUUCAUAAGUACAUAAAUGAUAAGCAAACCUAAGUUAAGGUAAAGUAAGGUAAUUCCGAUAGCAAAAUUCAAAAUUUUAGCAAUUUCUCAUUUUUUGGGUUUCCUGUACAUUUUGGGGCAAAAAUGAUAAAACAACUUUAUUCCUACGUCUACGUCCUUCAACUACACAUUGACUAUAUUGAAGAGUGAUUUGUGCGGAGGCUUCAUACAGGGCCAUUCCACGUCAAUUGAACCAAGAAGUGGUAGUGGGUUCGGCGAUUUUUUUGAAAUUUUCCCUGUGGAAAGACCUUCCGAUGGGAUGACCAAUGGCGCAAAUCGCAGCCCUCUAGCCCAUUUUUAAAGGCAGCCAGCGGGUGUCAAAGUUUUCAGUGAACCUAAUGUAUCAUUCAUUUCAGCAGUGGAUUACUCGAUAACCGCGAUACGUACCAAAAUGGAACUUUUUCCCAUAGUUAGAGGUUUUGAAAGGCUUUUUGGUGAUAUCAUAAAUAUCAGUGUUGCCACUUUUUUACGUGCAAAAAAUAAGCUCAAAAAGUUUCAAAACGUAGUUUUCACAUCGUUCCGACUCUCAAAAAUUCUGAAAAAAAUACAUUAUUGACAACUUUUCAUGUUGAACAACAUAUUAAGAAAUUGAGAUGGUAACAUGUUGCAAAGUUGAUUUUAAAAAAUUUAAAGUUUGAGAAAAAAUGCGAUUUGUUGAUUAUGGAAAUUUAAAAAAAAAUGAUGAUCUAUCGCUGACUUAUUGUAUUUUAAAAAUAUUCAAGCGGUAAUUCGGAAUGAAGUUUUUAGAAUUGCAAUCAUCAUCUUUUCGAGGAAUAUGCUCCAAAUAUCCUAUGAAAAUCAUUUCAUCAACAUUUUGAAAGGUUCUGAGUGGUGGGUCAUUAAAAACCAAAAACGCCAAUUUCAUUCACUAAUUUUAAACUAGGGAAGUCCGAGCACCUGUCAGAUGCCCAAAUUGAAAAUUUGAUGUUUGUUUCAUUCUGGUCUCGUAUUUUGGUUUUCGUUUUUUUUUUUUUUUUUGUAAGUCUUGUUGCUUUCUACGAAUAAUGUAAUACAGUAAGCGCCGCUUAAUAUGAUCGGGUUGGGACCAAGUGGUUGCUAUUCUAUUAACCGAAUUAUUCCAAUAAACGAUGAAUAAAAAAAAGAUGAUUUAUUGAACUAAAUGUUCAUAAUGGUACUUAAAAACGUAUAAAAAGGUGGGAAAAUGCCGGCAAAAAGCAAGAAUGACAAUUUUGGCAAAAAGCAGAUUUUUAUUGGCAAAAACAUUGUACUUUUAAUUGCAAGAAUUUUUUUAAAAAGCCAAAAUGUGGAAAUUUUGGGAAUUACUGGGGAAGUAAUGACACUUCUUCAUAAUUUUUUUUCGAAAAAUGUGAGAAGUUUUUUGCAUUUUUUAAGUGAAAGAAUGACAUUUUUUUUUGCAAUUUUUGGCUAUUUCAAGGGAAAACAAGAACUAAAACGAUGGAUUUUUUGAUAAUUUUUUGAAAAUGCAGAUCUUUGAACAAUUUUUAGAAAAAAAUGGGCCUUGGAACUUUUUUUCAAAAAGCAGAAAAUUUAGAAAAAAAUGGGCCUUGGAACUUUUUUUCAAAAAGCAGAAAAAUUUGACAAUUUUGCAGAAAACAAGUUUUUUUUUGCAAUAAUUGGCAGGAAACUACUUUUUUGCAAUUUUCGUUGAAAAUGGGAGAUUUUGUCCAAUUUUUCAGUUAAAAAACGAGACUUUUUGUUUGUUUGUUUGUUUUUUUGACAAAAAGUAUUCCUAUUUCAUUGAUUUUUGAAAAAUUUCCAAUUCCAUUAACCGACUUCAUUCACCUUCGAUUACCACAUAAAGCGAAAUUCUAUCAAUGUAAAAAGAUACAACCGUUCCGUCCCAACGACUUUCCAUUCUAUUAAGCGAAUUAUUCUAAUAACCGCAAUGAUAAUAAGCGGCGCUUACUGUAGUCUAAUUUUUUUUGUCUACGAAUUACUGUUUAUAUUUUACUUUGUUUUUUUUUUUUUACCUAUCUUUAUAGUUAUUCUUGCUGAUUUUAUGCAUUUUUAUUCAGUGAUAUUCUUAUUUUACGAAAUAUUUUUAUGUCUCUUUUAUGUUCUUAUAGAUCGAAUUUUAGUCGUUGUUUUUCAAAUGUUGUUGAUUGUUGAUCAAAUUUAUAGCUGUUUCAUCUUUGAUUAUGUUCAUUUUAUUUAUUUUUUGUAAAUGUUUUUUUUGUGUAGUAUGUACAUUAUAGUAAUUAUUUUUAAAAAAAUUAAAAAGGGAGUGACUUGUAGCGAGUGUGAAGUAGGAGCGUUGUAUACAAAGUAGCGAGCGUGAUUACAGAUAAGAUAAGCUAUGCCAUAUGAUGUACUUUGUGUACUUAUUCUCAUUACAAAUAUACAUAUGUA